ACAAGAGUAACAUAGGGUCCCAUACGGCGCCGCUAUUGGCCGCUUUCAAAUCUGCCGCAAAAAACCGUCCAAUGCGCAACGCGGCUUCCCAUUUUAGUUACAAUUCUUUUGACAGCCAAUAAUAUUUUCAGUUGCGCAAUAGUAGGAAUGAGUUUUUUGUGUACGUAAACAUAAAACCCGCGCCUUUUUAUAUGAAACUGGAAAUUAAACUAAAUCCGACGAAAGCCAACCAACGCCGCAUGAAUCCAUACAAACGCUUUCUUUGUAUUUCGAAUUAUCCGUGGCUUCGCGGACCCUUGGAUGUUCGCCACAAAAAUGUUCAUAUCAAUCCAACUAAAUAAUCAUAUGAUUUCAUGGUAAAAGGAGGAAAAAGUAGUCCCGUUUCGAACGAACCAAUUGGAGCGCACCUUUCCGAAAACAAAUGGGCAAAGUAGGGCGUCGUUCAUUGGCAGGCCCUCAGUUGGUAGCAACAAGCGUAUAAACAAAAGCGAUUAUACGAUUAUUUGCGGUAUUGUCAAUUAAAAUCGGUUCGUUUGUUCCUUCUUCAAACGUCCCGAAUCUUGAAUCUGUCAGAUUUGAUUUGGUUACUUCAAGUACAGUCGACAACGGCCGCCAGUUGUUUACGGUUCGCGUGUGAGUGAGUGUCAGAUGAGGAUCUUCUUGACCAAGGGCCCCCAAAACCCUAAAGGAUGAACGGCUUCAGCACCGGCGAGGAAGAUUCUCGCGGUCCCACAGACCAAACCUGUUGUCUCCUCGAUUCCGGGGAACGCUGCCAGAAGACCGCUGGCAACGCAUCCUACAGCAAUCGAAUCCAGAAGACCGUCACACAAAGGAGGCUACCCCUGGACAGAGAUCGUUCUGUUAGGCACAUUUAUAUCUGUGAUUACCACAAAAUGAUGAUCCAAUCAGCAAGGAACAAGAGGCGCCGAAAAGAUUCUGAAGAUGAUAGCAAUGAGACAGACACAGUGGAUACACAAUUGCCUGAAGCUGAUCUCUUUCAACUGCAAGUGAACACUCUCAGAAGAUAUAAGCGUUACUACAAAGUAACUUCCAGGCCAAGUCUGAAUAAAACUCAAUUAGCAGAAGUUUCCCUUCCAAUUGGUCACCAACCACGAGGUCUAUGUGUAUAGUGUCGUGUGUAUAGUGUGUGGUGUGCAGACUUAUUAAUCGUUUCAAUUCCACUAAGUAACGAUCACCCAUCCAAGUACAAUUCGAUCCAAACGUUGCUUUUCUUUCGUAUGCCAUCUAACAUCACCCGAUGGACGUCACAUGGCGUUUCUGUGUUCUAAUGAUAGAUGUUCAAAUUUUGCACUUGCCUGAAUAAAAGUCAAUAAGCAGAAACGCUGAUGAAACAUUUCAAAUCAAUACCGGUGAAGGAAAAGGAAGUACUAACAUUUUUCAUCUACACUGUGAAGACGAACGGUAAUAAGCU